rnacentral:rRNA from 1 species
UGAGUAACACGUGGGCACCUGCCCUACAGACUGGGAUAACUCCGGGAAACCGGAGCUAAUACCGGGUAAUACAUAGCAUCGCAUGAUGCAACGUUGAAAGUUGGCCUUUGGCUAACACUGUAGGAUGGGCCCGCGGCGCAUUAGCUAGUUGGUAAGGUAACGGCUUACCAAGGCCACGAUGCGUAGCCGACCUGAGAGGGUGAUCGGCCACACUGGGACUGAGACACGGCCCAGACUCCUACGGGAGGCAGCAGUAGGGAAUCUUCCGCAAUGGACGAAAGUCUGACGGAGCAACGCCGCGUGAGUGACGAAGGCCUUCGGGUCGUAAAGCUCUGUUGUUAGGGAAGAACAAGUACCGUUCGAAUAGGGCGGUACCUUGACGGUACCUAACCAGAAAGCCACGGCUAACUACGUGCCAGCAGCCGCGGUAAUACGUAGGUGGCAAGCGUUGUCCGGAAUUAUUGGGCGUAAAGCGCGCGCAGGCGGUCUCUUAAGUCUGAUGUGAAAGCCCACGGCUCAUCCGUGGAGGGCCAUUGGAAACUGGGGGACUUGAGUGCAGAAGAGGAAGUGGAAUUCCACGUGUAGCGGUGAAAUGCGUAGAUAUGUGGAGGAACACCAGUGGCGAAGGCGGCUCUCUGGUCUGUAAUGACGCUGAGGCGCGAAACGUGGGGAGCAAAAGAUUAGAUACCCUGGUAGUCCCGCCGUAACGAUGAGUGCUAGUGUUGGGGGUUCCCGCUCAGGCUGAAUUAAACAUAAAGCAUCCCCUGGGGAGACAACCUCAGGUUAAACUCAAGGAAUUGACGGGGCCCCACAAACAUGUACAUGUGUUUAAUUCAAGCACGCGAAAAACUUACAGGUUUGAAUCUUUGCAAUCUAAAGAUAGACUUUCCCUUCGGGGACAAAUCACAGUGUGCAUGAUGUCUCCCUCGAUCUGAAUGUUGGUUAAUCC